rnacentral:rRNA from 1 species
GCACCACAACAGGUGGAGCCUGCGGUUUAAUCGGACUCAACGCCGGGAAACUCACCAGAUAAGACAGCUGAAUGAUAGUCGGGCUGAAGACUCUACUUGACUAGCUGAGAGGAGGUGCAUGGCCGUCGUCAGUUCGUACUGUGAAGCAUCCUGUUAAGUCAGGCAACGAGCGAGACCCACGCCAACAGUUGCCAGCUCGUCCUCCGGGAUGGUGGGGACACUGUUGGGACCGCCUCUGCUAAAGAGAGGAAGGAAUGGGCAACGGUAGGUCAGCAUGCCCCGAAUUAUCUGGGCUACACGCGGGCUACAAUGGGUGGGACAAUGGGUAUCGACACCGAAAGGUGAAGGCAAUCUCCUAAACCCAUCCGUAGUUCGGAUUGUGGGCUGCAACUCGCCCACAUGAAGCUGGAAUCUGUAGUAAUCGUGUCUCAAAAUGGCACGGUGAAUAUGUCCCUGCUCCUU